UACGUAGGGUCCGAGCGUUAAUCGGAAUUACUGGGCGUAAAGCGUGCGCAGGCGGUUUUGUAAGCCAGUCGUGAAAUCCCCGGGCUUAACCUGGGAAUGGCGAUUGGGACUGCAAGGCUCGAGUGCGGCAGAGGGGGGUGGAAUUCCACGUGUAGCAGUGAAAUGCGUAGAUAUGUGGAGGAACAUCAAUGGCGAAGGCAGCCCCCUGGGUCGACACUGACGCUCAUGCACGAAAGCGUGGGGAGCAAACAGG
rnacentral:rRNA from 1 species